AACGAACGCUGGCGGCAGGCUUAACACAUGCAAGUCGAACGCCCCGCAAGGGGAGUGGCAGACGGGUGAGUAACGCGCGGGAAUCUACCGUGCCCUGCGGAAUAGCUCCGGGAAACUGGAAUUAAUACCGCAUACGCCCUACGGGGGAAAGAUUUAUCGGGGUAUGAUGAGCCCGCGUUGGAUUAGCUAGUUGGUGGGGU
rnacentral:rRNA from 1 species